UGCGGGAUCGUCUAAUGGUAGGACAGCGCUCUCUGGAGGCGUUUAUCUAGGUUCGAGUCCUAGUCCCGCAGCCA
rnacentral:tRNA from 1 species